rnacentral:rRNA from 1 species
GACGAACGCUGGCGGCGUGCUUAACACAUGCAAGUCGAACGGAAAGGCCCUGCUUUUGCGGGGUGCUCGAGUGGCGAAGGGGUGAGUAACACGUGAGUAACCUGCCCUUGACUUUGGGAUAACUUCAGGAAACUGGGGCUAAUACCGGAUAGGAGCUCCUGCAGCAUGGUGGGGGUUGGAAAGUUUCGGCGGUUGUGGAUGGAAUAGCGGCUUACCAGCUUGUUGGUGGGGUAGUGGCUUACCAAGGGUUUGACGGGUAGCCGGCCUGAGAGGGUGAACGGGCACAUUGGGACUGAGAUACGGCCCAGACUCCUACGGGAGGCAGCAGUGGGGAAUAUUGCACAAUGGGCGGAAGCCUGAUGCAGCAGCGCCGCGUGCGGGAUGACGGCCUUCGGGUUGUAAACCUCUGUCGCCUGUGACGAAGCGUGAGUGACGGUAAUGGGUAAAGAAGCACCGGCUAACUACGUG